rnacentral:lncRNA from 1 species
ACAUAUUCUUUUGGGUCGCACCGUAGCACUUUUUGAAGUGUAUAAAUGACCCCUACUGCUAAGUUUUACAACACGUCAAAAAGUUUUACAUCUCUAAUAAAAAUAAAAAUAAAAAAACACUUUAAGACAUUCUAUGUAGAUGGUUGUAACUUGACCAAAAUAACCUCCCAGAAAUCAAAACUUUUUUCAACAUACAUUGUAGACAACAAAGAGUUUUGAAACUUUUGGUAAAAUUGCACAAAAUCUUCAAAAAAAAUUCAAACUUCUCCGAGGACAUUCGAGUAGUGUCUGAAUAAUACCAAGAAUAUGGGAACUUUUAAAAACUGAUGUUUAAAAAUUAAAAAGAAUAUUGUAACAAAGGGUGGUUUUUGGUCUAUUUUUGCUAAAAUAUUGGCAACGGAUUCUAAAAUUAAACAAAUAUAAAUUUUAUGGAUAUAUCCAUUUUGUAUAAACAGAAAAUAUUUCUGUACAUAAUCUGUAGUAACAAUUAUUAAAAGAGAAACACCACUUUAAAAAAUCAAGAAACUUGGUCAUCAAAAUUUUUUGUAUUAAUUUAAAUAAAAUAAUAGCACUAAAUUUAACUUUGUAUUUGUAAAAAAAAUAAAUUCUUACACAUUACAAUUUUUAGAAUAAAAAAUAUUAUAUUACUAUUCUAUACUACAAAAUUUUCAAAAAUAAAAUUUUCACUGUUAAAAUAUAUAUUUUAUAAUUUUCAUUUUAGUACUUAUUAAAGAGACAAAAAAAUCUAAUAAAAAAUAAUGAAUUAUUUUUUUGAAUAAAAAAUUAUAUAUAAAUAUAAAUAUAUAUAUAUGUAUAUUUAUAUUUAUUUGAUCAUAAACUAAUAUUAAAGUAAUAGCUUAUUUUAGAUAUUCAAGUAAUUAUAAAUCCUAGUGUUAGAUAAGACCAUCAAUUUUAAGGGUCUAUGUGCUAUUUUGGACUUUGUUAGAUUAUAUAAUGUUUCAAAAAUAUUUUUUGGCUAAUGUACUUUUUGAAAAAAUGUAUUAGCAUAUACAUAUAUGGUUCUAUAUAGAAAUUUCUUUAAAAGUUUGGCAAAUAAUUCAACAAACAUAUCUUUAUACACAACUACUUUAAAAAUUCCUUUAAGAACAUUCUUCUCCACAACUCAAAACAAAAAGUUCAAACUCUUCAUAAACCAUUGUCCAUACUUAAAUAUUUGGUUUGGUUCCCUAUAAAAAAUAAAAAAUAGAAUCCCACAAAACAUGGUAGUGGAAGUGGUGGAGGAGAAAGAAAGAGAGCAAAGGAAGUACACACACAAUAAAGAAAGAUUGACUCCGUUGCAUCGGACGACGUUAAGCACGUUUUGGUGGAAAAACCCAAACAACAACAACACGAAGAAUCUCCAAUAACAAUAACAGCAACAACAAUUGCAACAACUCACGAACAUGUCGCGAAGGGAAACAACGGCGUCGCCACCAUCGCAACGAGCGCCAACUUCCCCCGAAGAGGAGGACGAAAAGGACAACGAGGAAGACAAGGAAACGCGAGAGUGCGACGCACCUUGGAAGCAACGCCCGAACGUGGUCACACACACACACACAGCUGCGCUUCUUUCCUGCAGGGAAAGAAGGAAAGAAAGGAAGGAAAUAAGGAAGGCCCACCCACUUGGGGACUCACUGAUUGAUUGGAAAGAAAGGGUGAAAGAAAGAGAAAGAAAGAGAAAGAAAGAGAUUAGUGAGCGAGAGAGAUCACUCAUCACUGCACACACAAAAACCAGUACAGUGUAUGUAUCAGGGCAACAGAAUGUAUUGGGUGGGAAAGCGACUUGGCGGAUACAAAUCGGGGCCCCCCACAAGAGAAAGAAUCUGGGUGGAGGAGCAGGAUCCGUGAGGGAGGAUUUGGCACCUCACACGCACAUAAACCAACUCAGGAUCGAUGCGCAGUGUAUUCCUUCCCCUCGGACAGAUGUACCCAGACUCGAUGCUUUCUGCACCCCCCCUGGAAAUAAAAAUAAACAAAAGGAACGAUCCUGAGGCUAAGAAAUAGCACGGUAGCAACAACAGUAGCA